rnacentral:tRNA from 1 species
GCGCCGUUAGCUCAGUUGGUAGAGCAGCUGACUCUUAAUCAGCGGGUCGAAGGUUCGAGCCCUUCACGGCGUA